rnacentral:rRNA from 1 species
GACAGAGGGUGCAAACGUUAUUCGGAUUCACUGGGCGUAAAGGGUGCGCAGGCGGUUGAGUGUGUCAGAUGUGAAAUCCCGAGGCUCAACCUCGGAACUGCGUCUGAAACUACUCGACUAGAGUACUGGAGAGGGUAACGGAAUUCACGGUGUAGCAGUGAAAUGCGUAGAUAUCGUGAGGAACACCAGAGGCGAAGGCGGUUACCUGGACAGUUACUGACGCUCAGGCACGAAAGCAUGGGGAGCAAAA